CCCCCCCCCCCCGUGCGUACGCACGCACGCCGAUCGGAUCCCCAACCGCCCAGCAGCAGCGAGUCACGUGGCGCGGCCGCCUCAGCCGGAGGAGGGCGGGAAGCUGACGUUGGGCGGUUGGUUCGCCGGGCGCCGGCGGCCGCUGAGGGGGCAGCAUCGGAGCUCGGUUGUGGGGCUCUCCUCGACGGGCGCGACGUGCACUGUACAAGAGUAGGGGGGAGGGAAUGCGGGGAACAUCUAUGCGGAGGGAGAUGCAAACUGGGACGCAGGAUUAGUUGUGAGGGGAAAAUUGGCAGAGCUGAAGAGAUUUAACAGUGGAGGAUUCCCUCAUCUGGAGAUCACCUGAGAGGCUUGGUUCACAAAUAAUUUGUGAAAGCACAGGGGGAAUAAUGAUAUUCAUACCCAGACAUUGUGCUUGGCACCAUGCUUACAUUUUUCUGAUGUGCAGUAUGGAAAUUCUGUGCUUGCUCAAAACGUGCUAUCACCCUGGAUCUGAGGAAUUCCCCUGGAACAUUGUGUCUUCUUCAAAUUCUGUGGGAGGCCAAGACUUUCAGGACCAAUUUAGAGUGGCUAAUUUGCCUGUUCCUUGCAAGCCGUUGGGAUGUGUGAGAUAACUGGAUCACCCGGAGGAAAUCUACAUUAACAGAAGGAGCAUGAGCAAAUUCCACUGCAACAGCACUUGAGGUCAGCAUUGAACUCGGAUCAUAGACACUGUGAAACAUCAGUUCCAUUAGUUAUCCCAAUGACACCACCUUAGAUAUGACAUUAUACAUUUUGGGGGAUCGAGUGGGCUUUUUAGCCACAAGGAUUCAGUGGGGAAGGACAAUAGUAUAGGGUUCUUCUGCUACUGGACAGGGAGGGGCUGAGAUGCGUAAAGAAAUUAUUGUGGUGUAUCAUCCCGCCCAGGGGGCACAAAAGUGGCAACAGUCCUAAAGGUUUUAAAGAAUGCAAUAGAACAGUACUGAAAGCAUUGACUAUAAAUAUAAGAAUGAAAGAAAUGGUGCAGUUUUUUAUUGUAAAUAUUUUUAUUAUGAGUAACAUUUAUUUUGAAAUUAAGAAGUUGCUCCCCCCCCACUGCACCUGUCAUUACACAACCUUUGCCUGAAUACCACUUCUUUCCCAAGGCAGAACAAAGUAACAGCUGACUAACAGGUGAUAACACAGUAUGAAAUGACAUGGUUUAGAAAGUGACUUCAGAGGGUUUUAUGUCGAGAGGUCAUUACGGGGUAGUUAGUGGGAGAUUGUAGCUAGUCCAAGAUGACCAGAAUUACUAUAGACAAUAGGUGCAGGAGUAGGCCAUUCAGCCCUUCGAGCCAGCAUCACCAUUCACUGUGAUCAUGGCUGAUCAUCCACAAUCAGUACCCUUUUCCUGCCUUCCCCCCAUAUCCCUGCACUCCGCUAUCUUUAAGAGCUCUAUCUAACUCUUUUUUGAAAGAAUCCAGAGAACUGGCCUCCACUGCCUUCUGAGGCAGAACAUUCCACAGAACCACAAACCUCUGUGUGAAAAAGUUUUUCUUUAACUCCGUUCUAAAUUGUCUACCCCUUAUUCUUAAACUGUGGCCUCUGGUUCUGGAC